AGGAAGCCAGGCGGAGCCACAGAGCAGACUACGGAGAACAGCAGGCCAGUGCAGGCCCCGCCUCUCUCGCGGCACGUGACCAGACUAGCCAAUGCCUGCGCGGGGUGGGUCUGCUGGUCCCAAAGCACCGCCUCCCGGGUGCUCGAACGGGAAAGAGACGCCAGCAGGAGGCGCCACGGGGCCACGGCCCGACCGUGCGUGCGCUAACAAGUCAUCGGGUCCACGGUUCCUGAGGUCGCAGCCUCUCCGCCUGGUUUGGGUUUCCGCGGGGCGUGGACGCUGAGAGGAUUGCUUCCCCGUUGCGAGUUCGCUUGAGUUGGGGACGCGAUGGCGGAGUGGCCGCGCCCCUGUGUGUCCCCAGCUGAGGAUGUCCCUGCCUAGGGUCCAAGGGAUGGGGUCUAGCUUGUGAGGCUUCCUGGCAAUUGUCUCUACUCAAUGAGCCAUCGUCCUGGUCCCUGACCAUAAUUUUACGCACCUAAUCUUUAGGGGUUGAUUCAAAUUCUUGCUGCUGGCCUUGCUCUAUUCUCCCCCUGGUGUCACUCGGCGGCAAGGUCACAUCUUCAUGGCCAUUUGCGGUUAUCUUGAUCACAAAGUGUUCAUCCUGACUGCAUUUCAUGUUUGCCUUGGACAUGGUUUGCACCUUCUGUUUGUCUGCAUCUGCCGAUUUGACGUCCUCUCCUUCUCAGUCUUCCUGUUCGCAUCCGUGGCUGCUGAUUUUAGUCACCUGACUAUUUGUUGAAUCAUUUAGCAGAAAUAUUUGUUUACUCUGGAUACAUCUAUUUCCUUCUGAUACCUUGGUAAUUGUAUUUAUAUUAAAAUUCUUUUUAAUUUUUAAAGUA